rnacentral:ncRNA from 2 species
CAAUACGUGAGGAAAAAAACUCACGGGGUGGAAACAAGGUCACACUCCCGCUGAGUUUUCGGAA